rnacentral:lncRNA from 1 species
GUGAUGUUUCUACUAAAAAACAGAACAUUUUUUCUUAAAAUUAACACUUUCUUAAAUUCACUGUGUGAUUUUUAUGCCUGGAUUUUAAUAGGUAAAUUAUUGAAUCAGUUGGGCCUUUGUACCUGAGAGAACUUACUCCACCUCCUAAUGUAGGGUGGCAUGGGGUUAAAUGCCCCACUCCUGUAAUUCUCAAAGAAACCAGUUUAUGUCACCAUUUUUUUUAAACGUUCCCUGGAUGCAACUAGUUUUGCUCAACAAAAAAAUGUAAUCUGUCUCAUCCCAACUUUUUAAGUUACUUCAACAAAACGAUUUUGAAGUACAAACCCCCCCUUGAGAGAAUUGAGACAUGGAUUGUGUAUGUGUGCCAUGGGCAAGCCAAAAUAUUUAAGCGCUUUUGGACACAGUAUGGUAGUAGGUGCCAGGCGCACCGGCUUGUGAAUGUCAAUAACUGCACGCUCAACAGUUUCCCCUGUGUAUCAAGAAUGGUCCACCAGCCAAAGGACAUCCAGCCAACUUACUUUUAGUGUUGAAGCAUCAUCCAGACAGUUUUUUUGGUCAGAGUUCCAUUCCUGAUAUUUCUUUGGCAGGCUUAGUUGCUUGCAUUAGCCAUAUAGUGGUAGUGGCCAGACUCACCCAAAAACGUGCUUAAAAAAAUCUCCACAUAAAAUUCUGAAGACGAUUAAGUUUUCGGGCGGGCUGUAGAAAAAUGUGAUAUUGUUUUUUUCUGCAAACAUUCGCAAUUGUGCUUUUAAAGAAAAUUGACUAGCUACUUCAGCCGAAGUUCGUUGCAUGCAAAGAUUUUAACCCAAGACAGACCAGAGUCUGUUGUUUCCAAUGGGAGCAAAUUAAUAAUAGUGGGCAGAACAAGCAAGGACGUGGGCAGAGCCAAGCAUGAGUUAGUGAGAUCCUAUUGGCGCGUUUAGCAUUUAUUUGCAAAUUUACAUUAGGAAAAGCCUACUCUGUGAAGUGCGCUUGUGUAAUAACUAAAUUUGCCGUUGCACUCCUAAACAAUGCCAUUUUUUGAAACUUUGGCAAAGGGUAAAGUCUACAAAACCCAGUCUACUCUGUUGUUACAGAUUAUAGUUUUGGAAACAGAAAACCAUAUGGAGAUCAAAUAUUUCAUUGAUGAGAAAAUUUGCAGAAUGUCAGCCAAAAUCCAUCUUCUCCCACUGGGCUUCCUUUCAUCACCAUAUUUUGUAGUGAGUGGAAAUGCCAACUGGAUACUUCACAUUUAUACAUCCAGUGAAAUAUCUGUCUCAUUGUUCUAGUUGGCCUAGAUGUCACUAGCUUGGACAGGGAAAAGAUUACAGAAAGCCUAGAUGACGAAGAAGCUACAUGUAACCUUUAUUUAACUAGGCAAGUCAGUUAUUAUUUACAAUGACGACCUACCCCGGCCAAACCUAGACAACACUGGGCCAACUGUGCGCUUCCUUAUGGGACUCCCAAUCAUGGCCGGAUGUGAUACAGCCUAGAUUCAAACCAGGGACUGUAGUGGCACCUCUUGCACUGAGAUGCAGUGCCUUAGACCACUGCGCCCCCUGGGAGGCCAUAGGUUGUUGAAUUGCUAAAGUAGUAGUGUAGAACAUGUUUAUAUGUUCAUUUACUUAUGCAAAAGUGUAUUUUUGUAUUAGUUGUACUGUAUGUGUUUACUUUUAUAACCUUUAUUACAAAUUAAUUGUCUACAACACAUACUGUACUUGCACAUGCUUAUGUGUCAUAAAAUUAUUUGGGAACAAUGUUAAAGAACAAGUAACUUUAUGUUGUUCACAUAGUCAUAGGCACUUAUACACCUUGUAUUUACAUGGUUAUAGCCAUAGACAUGUUGUGUAAUACAUCUUGGCGUCAUUACGUGUUCAGUCUUUAUACAUUCUUGAAAGUCAAGUGGUUCAGAGAAGCAGGUGUGUGUCACACCCUGAUCUGUUCCACCUGUCUUUGUGCUUGUCUCCACCCCCAUCCAGAUGUCGACCAUCUUCCCCAUUAUCCCCAGUGUAUUUAUACAUGUGUUCUCUGUCUGUUGCCAGUUCGUUUUGUUUCAUCAAGCCUACCACCAUUUUUCCUGUGCUCCUGUCUCGCUCUAGUUCCUGUUUUCCCGGUUUUGACCAUUCUGCCUGUCCUGAGCCUGUCUGCCGUUCUGUACCUUGUCACACCACCCUGGAUUACUGACAUCUGCCUGCCCUGACCCUGAGCCUGCUUGCCGUUCUGUACCAUUCGGACUCUGCCCUGGAUUACUGACCUCUGCCAGCCCUUGACCUGUGGUCCAUUGGCAGCUAACGAAAUGAGCACAUAGAACUCAGAGAUAGCAUAUAGACCAAUGCAGCAGUAGGCCUAUGACUUUCAUCAUUAACUAAGUAAAAUAAAUAGGCCUAAAGCCGACAAAUAAAAAUUCUGGUUCUUUCAAUCACAUUUAUCUCUCUACUCCGCCUGUCUGCCGCCCUUUCUUUCUGUCUUGAGUUAUCACUAGUGAAGUCCAACAUUGUAUAAAAUCAUCAACUGGGUCCAGCCAGAAGCUGUCGCUAGCGAACUUGAAACAUUGUAUUAAAUAGCCUAUUCUGGACCCUCAGAGUUUCCCGUGCCAGUGUGCUGGGUACAGACAGCUGUACUCUCACGCUUUGGGCGUAGGGGGUGCGGAGUCAAGCGCAGGAGGCAGAAAAGUUCAAUAUAGCGUUUUAUUACGCACAAACGUAUACGCCAAAAAUGCCGGGCGCACAAAACACAAAAUGCCCAAAGUACACUUAUCCAACACACACAACACAGUGGAAGGAAAUAAUUAAGCCCGCACACAGAGCAGGCGGGCCUACUGGCUUAAAUAGCCCAACUAAUAAGCCUAAACGAAAACAGGUGAAACUAAUUAGUCAAAACAAACAGAGAAGGAAAAAGGGAUCAGUGGCAGCUAAUAGGCCGGUGAUGACGACCGCCGAGCACCACCGGAACAGGGAGAGGAGCCACCCUCGGUAUGAGUCGUGACAUGUACUGGAUAUAUAGGAUGAUCAGAUCAUUAUAUUUUGCCCUUUCACACCAAGGCUUGGUGAUUACCAAGUCCGGGUAUGUUGGAAAGAUUUUUCAAAUACUGAGGAAUAUUGAAUUUCUGUUGCACACAUAUCCAGAUGAUUGCUGCAUAUCAUUUUGCGCAAUAACACUGUUGGCGUGAUCAAGGCAUAAUCAAUCUUUCUGUUGGUGAGCGUCUCGGUCAAAGAAGAAACACCGGACCUGGUGUAUAGCCCACAAAGACAUGAGAUGGCUGUAGAGUUUCUUGUGGGGACGUUUUAAAGCACAUAGUCAGGCCACUACCACUAAAUGGCUCAUGCAAGCAACUAAGCCAGCCAAACAAAUUUCAGGAAUGGAACUCUGACCAAAACAACUAUUUGGAUGAUGCUUCAACACUAAAAAUAAGUGGAAUGAGGUCUAACAGUGUGCAGUGCCAUUUUGUUUCGACAGUUGAUCAAUUUAAAAUACGAUACCUAUCGAUCAUAGUCUGCUGCUGGAAAAAUAUGUGUUAUGGCUUUACACCCCCUGCUAUAUUGUGGAUAAAGAGUUACCUGUCUAACAGAACACAGCGGGUGUUCUUUAAUCGAGACCUCUACAACAUAAUCCAGGUAGAAUCAGGAAUUCUAGUAAAGCCAGUGUGUCUAUGUAUGCGGAUGACUCAACUCACAUCAGCUACUACAGCAACUGAAAUGACAACACUUAACAAAGAGCUGCAGUUAGUUUCAGAAUGGGUGGCAAGGAAUAAGUUAGUCCUAAAUAUUUCUAAAACUGAAAGCAUUGUAUUUAGGACAAAUUAUUCACUAAACCCUAAAUCUCAACUAAAUCUUGUAGUUUAAUAAUGUGGCAAUUGAGCAAGUUGAGGUGACUAAACUGCUUGAAGUAACCCUGGAUUGUAAACUGUCAUGGUCAAAAAAAUAUUGAUACAACAGUAGCUAAGAUGGGGAGAAGUCUGUCCUUAAUAAAGCGCUCCUCUACUUUCUUAACAGCACUAUCAACAAGGCAGGUCCUACAGGGUCUACUUUUGUCGCACCUGGACUACUGCUCAGUUGUGUGGUCAGGUGCCACAAAGAGGGACUUAGGAACAUUGCAAUUGGCUCCGAACAGGGCAGCACGGAUGGCACUUGGAGGUACACAGAGAGCAAACAUGAAUAAUAUGCAUGUCAAUCUCUCCUGGCUUAAAGUAGAGGAGAGAUUGACUUCAUCACUACUUGUAUUUGUGAGAGGUAUUGACAUGUUGAAAGCACCAAGCUGUCUGUUUAAACGACUAGCACACAGCUCAGACACCCAUGCAUACCCCACAAGACAUGCCACCAGAGGUCUCUUCACAGUCCCCAAGUCCAGAACAGACUACGGCAGGUGCACAGUACGACAUAGAGCCAUCACUACAUGGAACUCUAUUCCACAUCAGGUAACUGAUGCAAGCAGUAUAAUCAGAUUUAAAAAACAGAUAAAUAUACACCUUAUGGAAGAGUGAGGACUGUGAAGCAACACAAACAUAGGCACAGACACAUGCAGGCACACAUAAUAACAUAUGCACUAUACACACACACGUACACAUGGAUUUUGUUUUGUAGAUAUGUUGUAGUGGAGUAUAGGCCUGAGGGCACACACGUUGUGAAUUCUGUAAUGAAUGUAUUGUAAUGUUUUUUUUAAAUUGUAUAACUGCCUUAAUUUUGCCGGACCCCAGGAUAGCUAAUGGGGAACCAUAAUCAAUACAAAUACAAAGAGAAUUUGAUUUAUGUAAAACAAAACAUGACAAUCAAAAUCCAGUAUUACUAUAGCUUUAGAAAAUGCUGCUUGACCUCUAGCUUCCUAUAUUCACCUGAUCCUAAAUUGUUUAAUACCAUUAUGCUUCUCACACGUUGCUCUCAGAACCACAUCACCAAUGCUACAAAUUAAAAUCAAUACAGUUCUCAUGAAGAGGUACUCACCACCUUGCAGAUUCAGAACAUCAUUGGAGAGUGUAUUAACCUUGAG